UGGGGAAUAUUGGACAAUGGGCGAAAGCCUGAUCCAGCCAUGCCGCGUGUGUGAAGAAGGUCUUCGGAUUGUAAAGCACUUUAAGUUGGGAGGAAGGGCAUUAACCUAAUACGUUAGUGUUUUGACGUUACCGACAGAAUAAGCACAGGCUAACUCUGUGCCAGCAGCCGCGGUAAUACAGAGGGGGCAAGCGUUAAUCGGAAUUACUGGGCGUAAAGCGCGCGUAGGUGGUUUGUUAAGUUGGAUGUGAAAUCCCCGGGCUCAACCUGGGAACUGCAUUCAAAACUGACUGACUAGAGUAUGGUAGAGGGUGGUGGAAUUUCCUGUGUAGCGGUGAAAUGCGUAGAUAUAGGAAGGAACACCAGUGGCGAAGGCGACCACCUGGACUGAUACUGACACUGAGGUGCGAAAGCGUGGGGAGCAAACA
rnacentral:rRNA from 1 species